UACGUAGGGGGCUAGCGUUGUCCGGAUUUAUUGGGCGUAAAGAGCGUGUAGGCGGCCAGGUAGGUCCGUUGUGAAAACUCGAGGCUCAACCUCGAGACGCCGGCGGAAACCCUUUGGCUAGAGUCCGGAAGAGGAGAGUGGAAUUCCUGGUGUAGCGGUGAAAUGCGCAGAUAUCAGGAGGAACACCAAUGGCGAAGGCAGCACUCUGGGACGUGACUGACGCUGAGACGCGAAAGCGUGGGGAGCAAACAGG
rnacentral:rRNA from 1 species